UACGAAGGGUGCAAGCGUUACUCGGAAUUACUGGGCGUAAAGCGUGCGUAGGUGGUUCGUUAAGUCUGUCGUGAAAGCCCCGGGCUCAACCUGGGAACGGCGAUGGAUACUGGCGAGCUAGAGUGCGGUAGAGGGCGGUGGAAUUCCCGGUGUAGCAGUGAAAUGCGUAGAGAUCGGGAGGAACAUCAGUGGCGAAGGCGGCCGCCUGGACCAGCACUGACACUGAGGCACGAAAGCGUGGGGAGCAAACAGG
rnacentral:rRNA from 1 species